UGUCCGCUAUGGACACCUGGAAGAAAUCAGCAGCGGACAUUUCUGAAGGUUUAUCCAACAGACCUGUACAUCCAUGAAUGGAUCUCUAUAAUGUGUAACUAUUUCUGAAGGUUUA